GGUGGGGAUGACGUCAAGUCAUCAUGCCCCUUAUGUCCAGGGCUUCACGCAUGCUACAAUGGCCGGUACAAAGAGUUGCGAGCCUGUGAGGGUGAGCGAAUCUCAAAAAGCCGGUCUCAGUUCGGAUUGGGGUCUGCAACUCGACCCCAUGAAGUCGGAGUCGCUAGUAAUCGCAGAUCAGCAACGCUGCGGUGAAUACGUUCCCGGGGCUUGUACACACCGCCCGUCAAGUCAUGAAAGUCGGUAACACCCGAAGCCGGUGGCCUAACCCGUUUGGGGGGGAGCUGUCGAAGGUGGGACUGGUAAUUAGGACU
rnacentral:rRNA from 1 species